rnacentral:snoRNA from 1 species
AGCCUCCUGGUGCUUACCACAGGCUGUGUUCUUACACUGACUGUAUAGAAGAAGGAGGCAAAGUAAACCUACCCCAUGUACACCUCAGCCCAGGCCUUGUGCCUGGUCUGUAUUGUAAAUGGGGUGGGAGAA